UACGAAGGGGGCUAGCGUUGCUCGGAAUCACUGGGCGUAAAGCGCACGUAGGCGGCUUUCCAAGUCAGAGGUGAAAUCCCGGAGCUCAACUCCGGAACUGCCUUUGAUACUGGAAAGCUUGAGUUCGGGAGAGGUGAGUGGAACUGCGAGUGUAGAGGUGAAAUUCGUAGAUAUUCGCAAGAACACCAGUGGCGAAGGCGGCUCACUGGCCCGAUACUGACGCUGAGGCGCGAAAGCGUGGGGAGCAAACAGG
rnacentral:rRNA from 1 species